AAAUAGUAUUACAAAGAAAUAAAGAUAGGAUAGAAACAAAUGACAUCUAAAGUAGUAUCAAUGUUCUUGGAUACAAUUAUGAGGAGAUAGAGAAUAUAUGUAUUAAUUCACAUAAAUGGUCAAAUACCAUAAAGAAGUAUUUGUGGAAAAUCUGGUCAGUCCAAUUCUAAAUUCACAACGGUUGGAUGAAACGACUUCUCGACUUUAAUGAGUAGAUUACCUGAUUCCUUGCCUUCCAAAUGAGCAGAUUGUGUUUGCAAUCACUACCCAGACAAAUGUGUAUAUUACCUUUAGUUCUUCUUUUCUUGUGCCAAGAUAACUUCUCCCAUAGAGAAAGCACACGUACAGCAAGAAAAGAUGUUUUGUAGUUUUAGGAUAGUCAUCAUAGAGUAGAGAAGAUGUAUCAUGGGAUAUUCCUAUUUUUAUUAAUCUUUCCCCCUCUUCCAAGCAUAACAAUCCAACAAAUAAAGUUAAGCUUAAUUAUGGGCACCCAUCCAGACAGGGCCAUUGCGUAUCUCGUACGUGAUGUGUUUCAAUUGAAAGAGAUAUCCUGAGUAAGAAGUGGCACCAUGCCCCACGGCUCUUUUAUAUUGCAAGUUAUGAGUAGCGACUUUUGGAAUUUCUCUCAAACGCUCUAAUCUAAAACGCUAUGAUUUAAAAUUUUACCUUUCUCUUGUUAAUUAUAAUAUAUAUAGAAGAAAUUGCAUGAAAAAAAAACACAACCCUAAUAUACUAAUGCUGAUUGCAGAAUGUUUCAUCGGUUGAAUAUUCUCUUUUUAAUAUUAAAACUAUAUAAAACCCUACCUACACUGAAUCCAAGCAAGUGGCCUCGUGGUCUGGUAUGAGAAUCAUUAAGUAUCAUAUUAAAAUCUAAAAAAAUAAAGGUUAUUUCUUAGCAUCUCCCGAAGCCUUAAUUACUGGCCAAGAAAAAAAAACUACCUGCACC
rnacentral:lncRNA from 1 species